rnacentral:rRNA from 1 species
GACGAACGCUGGCGGCGUGCCUAAUACAUGCAAGUCGGACGCAGUUGCGAACGGGUGAGUAACGCGUAGGUAACUGCCUAUUAGAGGGGGAUAACUAUUGGAAACGAUAGCUAAUACCACCUACUAGUAGAUGGACCUGCGUUGUAUUAGCUAGUAGGUUGGGUAAUGGCCUACCUAGGCAAUGAUACAUUGCCGACUUGGAGGGGGGGACGACCAAACUGGGAAUGGGAAACGGGCCCAGAUCCUAACGGGAGGAGGAGGAGGGAAACAUUGGCAAAGGGGGGAAAGCUGACCGAGGAACGCCGGCGGAGUGAAGGAAGGUUUCGGAUCGUAAAGCUCUGUUGUUAAGGAAGCGGUACUUAACCAGAAAGGAACGGCUAACUACGUGCCAGCCGCCGCGGUAAUAC